rnacentral:rRNA from 1 species
AACGAACGCUGGCGGCAUGCCUAACACAUGCAAGUCGAGCGCCCGUAGCAAUACGGGAGCGGCGCACGGGUGAGUAACGCGUGGGAACCUGCCCAGAGGUUCGGGACAACCGCGGGAAACUGCGGCUGAUACCGGAUGAUACCUGAGGGUCAAAGAUUUAUCGCCAUUGGAGGGGCUCGCGUCGGAUUAGGUAGUUGGCGGGGUAACGGCCUACCAAGCCUGUGAUCCGUAACUGGUCUGAGAGGAUGACCAGUCACACUGGGACUGAGACACGGCCCAGACUCCUACGGGAGGCAGCAGUGGGGAGUAUUGGACAAUGGGGGCAACCCUGAUCCAGCAAUGCCGCGUGGGUGAUGAAGGCCUUCGGGUUGUAAAGCCCUUUCGGCGGGGACGAUGAUGACGGUACCCGCAGAAGAAGCCCCGGCUAACUUCGUGCCAGCAGCCGCCGUAAAAC